AGAGUUUGAUCCUGGCUCAGGAUGAACGCUGGCGGCGUGCCUAAUACAUGCAAGUCGAGCGAACGGACGAGAAGCUUGCUUCUCUGAUGUUAGCGGCGGACGGGUGAGUAACACGUGGAUAACCUACCUAUAAGACUGGGAUAACUUCGGGAAACCGGAGCUAAUACCGGAUAAUAUUUUGAACCGCAUGGUUCAAAAGUGAAAGACGGUCUUGCUGUCACUUAUAGAUGGAUCCGCGCUGCAUUAGCUAGUUGGUAAGGUAACGGCUUACCAAGGCAACGAUGCAUAGCCGACCUGAGAGGGUGAUCGGCCACACUGGAACUGAGACACGGUCCAGACUCCUACGGGAGGCAGCAGUAGGGAAUCUUCCGCAAUGGGCGAAAGCCUGACGGAGCAACGCCGCGUGAGUGAUGAAGGUCUUCGGAUCGUAAAACUCUGUUAUUAGGGAAGAACAUAUGUGUAAGUAACUGUGCACAUCUUGACGGUACCUAAUCAGAAAGCCACGGCUAACUACGUGCCAGCAGCCGCGGUAAUACGUAGGUGGCAAGCGUUAUCCGGAAUUAUUGGGCGUAAAGCGCGCGUAGGCGGUUUUUUAAGUCUGAUGUGAAAGCCCACGGCUCAACCGUGGAGGGUCAUUGGAAACUGGAAAACUUGAGUGCAGAAGAGGAAAGUGGAAUUCCAUGUGUAGCGGUGAAAUGCGCAGAGAUAUGGAGGAACACCAGUGGCGAAGGCGACUUUCUGGUCUGUAACUGACGCUGAUGUGCGAAAGCGUGGGGAUCAAACAGGAUUAGAUACCCUGGUAGUCCACGCCGUAAACGAUGAGUGCUAAGUGUUAGGGGGUUUCCGCCCCUUAGUGCUGCAGCUAACGCAUUAAGCACUCCGCCUGGGGAGUACGACCGCAAGGUUGAAACUCAAAGGAAUUGACGGGGACCCGCACAAGCGGUGGAGCAUGUGGUUUAAUUCGAAGCAACGCGAAGAACCUUACCAAAUCUUGACAUCCUUUGACAACUCUAGAGAUAGAGCCUUCCCCUUCGGGGGACAAAGUGACAGGUGGUGCAUGGUUGUCGUCAGCUCGUGUCGUGAGAUGUUGGGUUAAGUCCCGCAACGAGCGCAACCCUUAAGCUUAGUUGCCAUCAUUAAGUUGGGCACUCUAAGUUGACUGCCGGUGACAAGCCGGAGGAAGGUGGGGAUGACGUCAAAUCAUCAUGCCCCUUAUGAUUUGGGCUACACACGUGCUACAAUGGACAAUACAAAGGGCAGCGAAACCGCGAGGUCAAGCAAAUCCCAUAAAGUUGUUCUCAGUUCUGAUUGCAGUCUGCAACUCGACUACAUGAAGCUGGAAUCGCUAGUAAUCGUAGAUCAGCAUGCUACGGUGAAUACGUUCCCGGGUCUUGUACACACCGCCCGUCACACCACGAGAGUUUGUAACACCCGAAGCCGGUGGAGUAACCUUUUAGGAGCUAGCCGUCGAAGGUGGGACAAAUGAUUGGGGUGAAGUCGUAACAAGGUAGCCGUAUCGGAAGGGGCGGCUG
rnacentral:rRNA from 1 species